CUGACCGCCGAGCUUCUUGAC
rnacentral:siRNA from 1 species